AGAGUUUGAUCCUGGCUCAGAAUCAACGCUGGCGGCGUGCCUAACACAUGCAAGUCGAACGAGAAAGUGGAGCAAUCCAUGAGUAAAGUGGCGACCGGGUGAGUAACACGUGACUACCUACCUUCGAGUGGGGGAUAACUCCGGGAAACCGGGGCUAAUACCGCAUAACAUCGAGAGAUCAAAGGAGCAAUUCGCUUGAAGAGGGGGUCGCGGCUGAUUAGUUAGUUGGUGAGGUAACGGCUCACCAAGGCUAUGAUCGGUAGCCGGUCUGAGAGGAUGGCCGGCCACACUGGAACUGAGACACGGUCCAGACUCCUACGGGAGGCAGCAGUGGGGAAUCUUGCGCAAUGGGCGAAAGCCUGACGCAGCAACGCCGCGUGGGGGAUGAAGCUUUUCGGAGUGUAAA
rnacentral:rRNA from 1 species